rnacentral:rRNA from 1 species
UACAGAGGUCUCAAGCGUUUGUUCGGAUUCAUUGGGCGUAAAGGGUGUGUAGGUGGCGCGUAAGUCGGGUGUGAAAUUUCGGAGCUUAACUCCGAAACUGCAUUCGAUACUGGCGGUGCUUGAGGACUGGAGAGGAGACUGGAAUUCAUGGUGUAGCAGUGAAAUGCGUAGAGAUCAUGAGGAAGACCAGUGGCGAAGGCGGGUCUCUGGACAGUUCCUGACACUGAGACACGAAGGCCAGGGGAGCAAACGGG